UACGGAGGGAGCUAGCGUUGUUCGGAAUUACUGGGCGUAAAGCGCACGUAGGCGGCGAUUCAAGUCAGAGGUGAAAGCCCGGGGCUCAACCCCGGAACUGCCUUUGAAACUAGAUUGCUAGAAUCCUGGAGAGGUUAGUGGAAUUCCGAGUGUAGAGGUGAAAUUCGUAGAUAUUCGGAAGGACACCAGUGGCGAAGGCGACUAACUGGACAGGUAUUGACGCUGAGGUGCGAAAGCGUGGGGAGCAAACAGG
rnacentral:rRNA from 1 species